GACGAACGCUGGCGGCACGCUUAACACAUGCAAGUCGAACGGAGAUAAUUUGAGUUUACUUAGAUUAUCUUAGUGGCGGACGGGUGAGUAACACGUGAGCAACCUACCUUUGAGAGAGGGAUAGCUUCUGGAAACGGAUGGUAAUACCUCAUAACGUAGUUUUACCGCAUGAUAGGACUACCAAAGAUUUAUCACUCAAAGAUGGGCUCGCGUCUGAUUAGCUAGAUGGUGAGGUAACGGCUCACCAUGGCGACGAUCAGUAGCCGGACUGAGAGGUUGAACGGCCACAUUGGGACUGAGACACGGCCCAGACUCCUACGGGAGGCAGCAGUGGGGAAUAUUGCACAAUGGGGGAAACCCUGAUGCAGCGAUGCCGCGUGGAGGAAGAAGGUUUUCGGAUUGUAAACUCCUGUCUUAAAGGACGAUAAUGACGGUACUUUAGGAGGAAGCUCCGGCUAACUACGUG
rnacentral:rRNA from 1 species